UACGUAGGGUGCGAGCGUUAAUCGGAAUUACUGGGCGUAAAGCGUGUGCAGGCGGUCUGUUAAGACAGGUGUGAAAAUCCCCCGGGCUUAACCUGGGAAUGGCGCUUGUUACUGGCAGACUAGAGUGCGUCAGAGGGGGGGGUGGAAUUCCACGUGUAGCAGUGAAAUGCGUAGAGAUGUGGAGGAACACCGAUGGCGAAGGCAGCCCCCCUGGAUGACAC
rnacentral:rRNA from 1 species